GGAUUGAACCAGCAACCCGCCAAUUGUAAGACAAAAAGAGAGAAAGGGUCAAACAAUAGGUCUGGGGAUUUCAUCAUAAUACCUAAUGGCAGUCAGGGUGCCAUUGUUUAUGCUGCGUAGGUCUGUGCAUCCCUCCAUGGAUAUGCCUUCCCAGACCAACACUGACGUACCACCAAAACAAUCAUGCCGGGCAAUGUUGCAGGCGGCAUAGCUUUCACUGCUGCUUCUCCGGAUCGCUUUACGUCUGUCCCAUGAGCUCAGAGUGAACUUGCUCUCAUCUCUGAAAAGAACAGGGUGCCACUGCCAAGUCUGCAAAUUCCAGUGUUUUCUGGCAAACGCCAGUCGAGCUCCAUGAUGCCAAGAAGUGAGCGCAGGGCCUGCUAGGGGACACUGAGCCCUCAGGCCAUCUUCAUGGAUUCUCCUUCUCAUGCUUUGCUCAGACAUUCACACCAGUGGCCUGUUGGAGGUCAUUUUGUACGGUUCUGGCAUUGUUCGUCCUGUUCCUUCUUGCAAAGAGGAGCAGAUACCAGUCCUGCUGAUGGGUUAAGGACGUACUAGGCCCGGUCCAGCUCUCCUAGAGUAACUGUCUCCUGGAAUCUUCUCCAUGCUCUUGAGACUGUGCUGGGAGACAGAGCAAGACUUCUGACAAAGCAUCAGCCCUCACUAAUGUCUGUGCAACAUUGCCCACUGACAUAACGUAAUUACUUCUCCUGGCCCAACACUGUCUUCCUCAGCUAUCAAAUGCCAUCUGGACGUACGUCACACGUUUAGUGGCUAAAAUUAAGUAACAAAUGGUUGAUAUUUAGGAAAAUAAAUGUUCUGUUUUUGUUGAACCUUCCCUCCACACGCACGAUUUCUGGUGCACAAUUUUAUUUUUCAUUUUUGUAUUUUUUGCCACUGCAAAUGAGAUUAUAAACUGGGAUUUUCUACAUCUACCUCACACUGUCCUGACUCAAUUUUAAGCUUUGAAAACGUGCAACCAAAAAACAACAA